CUUUUAUUUUCUCACAUCAUAUAUCAAUAUUUACCUCUGGACUGAAUAUUUAUUUGAAGGCUAAUAAGGAAGAGGGCUCUCUGACUUUAUCUGCCUCUCUUAGCCUUUCAUAUUGGUCAUUAACUACCAGUAAAAGCUAUUAAUGUCUGGUAUCCAUGCUAAAAUACGACACCUGUAGAAAUGCAGAGAUCCCUUAGGCAGUGACUUCAUAAGUGAAAUGUCUUGUUCUGAAUAUAAUUGCUCCUAUGUAAAGUAUUUGUUUUCCAUUUCACACUCAGAACUUUUCAGUGUUAUUGAAAAUGUUCCUAGCAGAAAUGGGAAUCACCCUAGUUCUGUACCCUUCCUGUACUGAGCCAGGACACCAAAACUCAAAGAAAGAAACUGAUGGACAAGAGAAUUCGUCCCUUGUACAAGCAGACAGUAGCAUAUAGAUGUAAAGUGUCAGCUGUCCUUACAGUGUAUAAAUUAGAAGAAACAGCAAAAGUUUGUCUGAGUUCAGACUUUAAUCAUUGGAAGGAAAUCACGCUGAAACAUACAGGAGGAUUUGGCAGAAGUCUCUGCUGGAGAUGGCCAAAGAAAUACUCUAAUGAAGAUCCUCUGUCAAGUUAUCCAAAUGUGGAAAAGGACAUGGGACUCCUUGGCAUACAUAACCUCUCUCCAGGCGGGCUUCUGCUUUUUUUUUCUUUUUUUUUUUUCUUUUUUUUUUUUUUUCUUUUACCUGCACUGGGAGAAGUUCUACUUGUGAAUGUGCUGUUUUCCUGAGAAUUUCUUCAGUUUCUUCACAGCCUGAUCCUCCAGCCACCAGCUUGAACCUGGCCCUUACCUCCACUUCUUACCCAGCCCUGUCUAGCUGUGGUGGUUUUGCCCUCCCAGGCAGCUGAACUCCACCACAAGCUCUCUCACCCCACAAUCUCAAAGUGAAAGGGGGAGAAUAUAGAAUGAAAAGGGUUCAAGGGUUGCCAUAAGGACUGGGACAUCACUCACCAAUUAUUGUCAAAGGCAAAACAGACACAGUAUAGGGAGAUUAACGUAAUUUAUUGGCUAUGACUAACAGAAAAAACAGUGAGAAAGCAAACAUGAAAUAAAAACAUUUUUCCCCCCA
rnacentral:lncRNA from 1 species